rnacentral:rRNA from 1 species
GCGUUCCUACGGGGCGCAGCAGUAGGGAAUAUUGCUCAAUGGGGGAAACCCUGAAGCAGCAACGCCGCGUGGAGGAUGAAGGUUUUCGGAUUGUAAACUCCUUUUGUUAGAGAAGAUAAUGACGGUAUCUAACGAAUGAGCACCGGCUAACUCCGUGCCAGCAGCCGCGGUAAUACGGAGGGUGCAAGCGUUACUCGGAAUCACUGGGCGUAAGGAGCGCGUAGGCGGGAUAGCAAGUCAGAUGUGAAAUCCUAUGGCUUAACCAUAGAACUGCAUUCGAAACUGUUAUUCUAGAGUAUGGGAGG